rnacentral:rRNA from 1 species
GCCCUUAGAGUUUGAUCCUGGCUCAGAGUGAACGCUGGCGGUAGGCCUAACACAUGCAAGUCGAACGGCAGCACAGAGGAGCUUGCUCCUUGGGUGGCGAGUGGCGGACGGGUGAGGAAUACAUCGGAAUCUACUUUUUCGUGGGGGAUAACGUAGGGAAACUUACGCUAAUACCGCAUACGACCUACGGGUGAAAGCAGGGGAUCUUCGGACCUUGCGCGAUUGAAUGAGCCGAUGUCGGAUUAGCUAGUUGGCGGGGUAAAGGCCCACCAAGGCGACGAUCCGUAGCUGGUCUGAGAGGAUGAUCAGCCACACUGGAACUGAGACACGGUCCAGACUCCUACGGGAGGCAGCAGUGGGGAAUAUUGGACAAUGGGCGCAAGCCUGAUCCAGCCAUACCGCGUGGGUGAAGAAGGCCUUCGGGUUGUAAAGCCCUUUUGUUGGGAAAGAAAUCCAGCCGGCUAAUACCUGGUUGGGAUGACGGUACCCAAAGAAUAAGCACCGGCUAACUUCGUGCCAGCAGCCGCGGUAAUACGAAGGGUGCAAGCGUUACUCGGAAUUACUGGGCGUAAAGCGUGCGUAGGUGGUUAUUUAAGUCCGUUGUGAAAGCCCUGGGCUCAACCUGGGAACUGCAGUGGAUACUGGAUGACUA